UCCGAGUUGACCCCGGCAGUCUCCCAUGAGUCCCCGCCAUUACGCGCUGGCAACAUGGAACGAGGGUUGCGCUCGUUGCGGGACUUAACCCAACAUCUCACGACACGAGCUGACGACAACCAUGCACCACCUGUGAACCGGCCCCAAAGGGGAAGGACUGUUUCCAGCCCGGUCCGGCCCAUGUCAAGCCUUGGUAAGGUUCUUCGCGUUGCAUCGAAUUAAUCCGCAUGCUCCGCCGCUUGUGCGGGCCCCCGUCAAUUCCUUUGAGUUUUAGCCUUGCGGCCGUACUCCCCAGGCGGGGCACUUAAUGCGUUAGCUACGGCGCGGAAAACGUGGAAUGUCCCCCACACCUAGUGCCCAACGUUUACGGCAUGGACUAC
rnacentral:misc_RNA from 1 species